CUCUGCGCAUAUACACUGCGCACUCCCUCCAUCCAUAACUGAGUGCUUAUACGCAACGUGGAAAUUGUAAAAAAAAUAUAAAAAAAUGUUGAAACAACCAGUAAAAAAGAAGGAACACGGGGAAAACAGAUAAUUAUUUCAGAAUUAAAAGCGGAGAUAAAAAUUCAGUCAUCGGGGUCGCAUAUGGGAGCGAUGCUUCGCGACAGUAGCCGUGUCGGGCCUCUGAGCUCCAAGUCGUUUCGUUUCUUCAGAAAAACUGACUGACACUUUUGUUUCGGUGUGUGUUUUCGUGCCAUCCAAGAAAGAACACUCGAAGGGGGAGGGAGGAGAAAGAAGAGCCGAAGAAGGAACGCCGAAGUUGUGUAGUGGUGGGGGUGGGGGUGUAGUGCGAAAGACUACCCUAAGGAGCCGUCUUUUCCCCUCCGUGCGGAAAAUCUCAAGAACGCGCCGCGGUCGAUAUAAGAAAAUGACGUCAUCGUGCUUUUCUCGCACGCCAUUGGUCGAGCCGGCCAACUCAACAAGAGAACAUGACCGCAAAAAAUACAAUUAUGUAUUCCAUGACGAAUAUUGAUGAUAUACUAAUGGCCGCCCGAUGAUUUACGGGAUUCAAGAUGGAAAUUCAUCAAAUCCCAGAGUAUUGGAAUUAGUAAGCUAAUGACUUAGUUGCAAAUGCUACUUGGUGGAAAUUCACCACAGAAUAGAGUAUUUUUCGAAAUGAUUCACGUACUUUACUCACAAGUAAUAGCGAUAGUGGUGUCAAUAAUAUCUCAACCAUGAUAAGUACGGAGUAUUGCAGAAGCCAUGAACAGAAUUUUACAUCAUAUUAUUCGAAUAUGAAAUUUCUAUGAACUUGCUUUUUAUCAAAUAAUUUGAUGGAGAUGGUGGAAUAUCGAAGUUAUUGAAAUUCUGAAAACUACUGUGAAAUAAAGAAAAUACAGACAACUACAUCCCACGAUUGUUUGAUUAUAAUGUUAUCAUAAUAUGGAUAUUCUUGCAAGAAUCGAUCACUCUACACCCUGUUACUACAUCUCUGGGACAUCUCAUCUCGAUUCAUUCAUCUGGAAGCAGAACGAUCAUCAACCACCUGAAACAAAACAAAAAAUCAUUGUACAUAACAUUUCUCUUAAGGUUUUUACUUAUAUAUUAAUCCAACUCCUCAACAGUGAGUGAUGAUCGAAUAACUUUUCCUAUACUUUAUUUUCUAUAUAAAAUUGAGAAAUUAUCAAGAUAUACUACUGAGAAUAUAAGGA
rnacentral:lncRNA from 1 species